rnacentral:rRNA from 1 species
UACAGAGGGUGCAAGCGUUAAUCGGAAUUACUGGGCGUAAAGCGUGCGUAGACGGUUGCGUAAGUCAGAUGUGAAAGCCCCGGGCUCAACCUGGGAAUUGCAUUUGAGACUGCGUAGCUAGGGUGCGGAAGAGGGAAGCGGAAUUUCCGGUGUAGCGGUGAAAUGCGUAGAUAUCAAGAGGAACACCUGAGGUGAAGACGGGUUGCUGGGCCGACACUGACGCUGAUAGCGCGAAAGCCAGGGGAGCAAACGGG